rnacentral:rRNA from 1 species
GCGCCAGACUCCUACGGGAGGCAGCAGUGAGGAAUAUUGGUCAAUGGCCGGAAGGCUGAACCAGCCAAGUCGCGUGAGGGAAGACGGCCCUACGGGUUGUAAACCUCUUUUGCCGGGGAGCAACGGGCGCCACGUGUGGCGCCACUGAGAAUACCCGGAGAAAAAGCAUCGGCUAACUCCGUGCCAGCAGCCGCGGUAAUACGGAGGAUGCGAGCGUUAUCCGGAUUUAUUGGGUUUAAAGGGUGCGUAGGCGGAAUGCCAAGUCAGCGGUAAAAUCGCGGGGCUCAACCUCGCUCCGCCGUUGAAACUGGCGUUCUUGAGUGGGCGAGAAGUAUGCGGAAUGCGUGGUGUAGCGGUGAAAUGCAUAGAUAUCACGCAGAACUCCGAUUGCGAAGGCAGCAUACCGGCGCCCAACUGACGCUGAAGCACGAAAGCGUGGGUAUCGAACAGGAUUAGAUACCCGAGUA